UUUUCAUGCGCCAAAACAUCACUAAUACUACCCUUUCUUCUUAGGUAGCUAAAGUAUUUGAUAUCUAUUCUUUGGGAAUCACCUUGGGAGGAAAACAGAAGAGCUCAGUGGAGAUGUUGAGAGAAAAAUGUAAUGCUAGUGGAGGGGAGCAAGAUUUGAUCUGUUCACCAAGACUGAGGACUGACUCUUGGUAUAAUAUGGGAGGAGCAGAAGCAUAAAGGAUUUAGAAUUUAGGACUUAAAUAAGGUUAUGCUUCCAAAAUUAUUUUAAAAGUUAUUUAUUUUCUGUUUGAAUUUCUGCUCUAACAAUCCCUAACCCCAACCUCCAGGGAGAUAAAUCUGAUAAACAACAGCACAAUGUUUUUAUUAUGCAUGACCAUUAGAGGUACAAACCUAAAAGUUAAUAUCAUUUGUUUCACUAAAACAUAGAACCAGCCCUAAGAAAUGUCUGGAGAAUAUGAUUGAUUCAGAAACAAUGAACUCAUCUGGAAAAAGAAAUCCAGGAGAGAAGCUUGAAAACUCUGAGUCAGAGAAGAGGGAAAAGGAAGGAAUGGAACAGCAUUAUUAAAUAGAGAAAAGAGAGAAAGAAAGGAGAAAUAAAAUGAGUAAUUAUAAUUUGUUGACAGUCUUCUAUGCCAAGCAGAGGGCAUAAUGCUUAAUAUAGGUAAAGAAAUCUCAGUUUGAAACUUCACUGAGUAGAUGGCUAACUCAGACUACAUUCUCCAUAGGAUUUUCUUUUUUUACACAUGAUCUACGCUAAAAAUUUUAUGAGAAAUGAAGAGAAAAGAAACAAAGCAACACAAAAUAAAACAACAAAACCUCACAGGGUGGAGUAGGGGUGUAAAGAAAAUAAAUAGAAUAAUUCCAGUCUUAUUUCAAUCACAUUUAAUCAAAUAUUGCUUGCCUACUCAAUUUAUGGAACACCAAAUCUCUAUUUCUAUAUCUUUGUUUUAACCCUGUCUGGUUUAAAUGUUAAAAACAGAACAAAGUGCACAACCCCCCAUUAGAAGAAGAAACAGGGGAAAAGACUCAGAGGAGGAGCAAGGCAUGGAGGGAGAAGUGUAGCAAAGACAACAGCUUCCUGAACUCCACAUUCUUCUCUUUCCUCUGGACUCACAGCUGGACCACAUAACCUUCCCAGCUUUCCUUCCCACCUUUUCCAAACGUGAUUGGGUUUUGGCCAAUGGAAUGAGGGUGGAAGAGAGGGUCCCACUAUCAGGUCUAGCCCAUAAAAAUCUCACAGAAAAUUCUCCUCCAUACUCUUUUUCCUUCCACGAACUGAAUGGAAACGACUUCGGCGAACUUGGAAGUAAUGUAUUGAAAAUCGGAAACUCUCUAUCAGCCUGAAUCUUUUAUCCCUCUUCACCAUCCUAUCUACCCAGAAACCCUUGCAAAUGUUAGGUAACCACAAAAUAAAUGUGUAUGUGUUUAAGCAAAAACAAAACAAAACAAAAAGCACAGCCAAUGUUGUUAAUAGAAAAAUAAUUUAAAAAUAAAUAAAAAAUGUCCACUUAAGGACAGACUUGAUGAAAUUUUAGCAUCAAUUUUCUUCUUCUUCUUCUUUUUUAAUUUUAGAGAUGGAGUCUCACUCUGUCACCCAAGCUGAAGUGCAGUGGUGUGAUCAUAGCUCACUGCAACCUCGAACCUACCUUUCGGUCUCGCAAUUAGCUAGGAUAAUAGGUGAACACCACCAUGUCUGGCAGAAAUUCUGUAUCAUUUUAUGUUCCAAAGCUGUCCUAACUUUGUAUAGCUACUUUUACAGUUCUUUAGUUGUAGCAGGCCAGGUUGUCCCCGAGUCCCUGGAAAAGUAACACACUUUGACUAAGUAUUUUUUGCAAUGCCCUCCUCAGGCCCCUUACAUGUCUAUGCCUAUACCUACCUCCUCAGGGGCACUUCUUUUGUCUGAUGAAUAUCCUUUGGGUCAUAAUUAAGCAUGAUACUUUCUUUUGGUAAAAAAUAAUAAUAAUAUUCUUACCAUAUUUUCUUUUUUUAACUUUUAUUUUAGAUUCAGGCCUACAUGUGAAGUUUUGUUUCAUAGGUAAACCUGUGUCACAGGGGUUUGUUGUACAGAUUAUUUCAUUGUUCAGGAAUUACGCCCAGUACCCAAUAGUUCUCUUUUCAUAACUGUAGGCUCACGUGCAGUUGUAAGAAAUUAGGCUGUGUAUAUCCUUUAUCCAGUUUCCUUCAAUACAUCUUGGAAAACUGUAGUAUAAUAUUACAGCCAGAAUAAUGACAUUGAUACAGUCAAGAUGAGAAUAAUUCCACACUACAGGGAUGCCUAAUGGUACCCUGUUAUAGCCAUGCCCACUUCCCUUCCUGCCCCUACCACCUCCUUAGCCCUGGUCAACCACUAAUCUGUACUCUAUUUCUAUAAUAUUGUAAUUUCAAGAAUGCUCUGUUUAUCAAAAUUCUAUCUUUAGCAAAAAAAUAAUAAAUCUAGCAAAAAAUGUUAUCUUUUGGGAUUGGCUUUUUUCACUCAGCAUACUUCUCUGGGGAUUGAGUAAGACGUUUUUGUGUGCUAAUAAUCCAUUCCUUUGUACUGCUGAGUUGUAACUAAUAAUACCCAUGUAUCACUGUUUGUUUAUUAACUUUUCACCCCUUGAAGG
rnacentral:lncRNA from 10 species